CCAAGAGGCUUGCUUGGUGAAGAUAAGCAAGCCAUGAGGCUGACAUUCCGAAGUUUGGACUCAUGAAGCAAGCUUUGGAGAUGACGUUGAGAGGUGUAGACAAAAAGCCAGUGUUUGUGCUCUUUGUUUGAAUGUGACACACAAAACAAGGCUGGCCACAUCGUGACAUAAAAAAAGGUAGAGGUGUGCAUUCAGGAUCUGCUGUAAUUGGUGUAUGAGGUUAUACCCCUCUAUGACAAGAUGCACAAAUACUGAACUGUAUGCUUGUAUGAUUCAGUGACGUUGCAAACCGCUUCAGGCCUUUAUGCUUUUGAAUAAAGGUCUUUAAAAACUCACUUGGACAAGAGCAAGCUACUACAGUUGAGGAUGGGACUACAGAGCUUUUCUUCACACAGAGAAGGCCACAGAGUGGCCACAGUGGCCACUAACAAGGGGCAUUGUUGGAAUAUUUUGGAGCAACCUCCGCUGCACCAGGACAAUCUACCUCAUCAGCUGACAUGACUGCUGCUGAGGGAACAUCUUCAGAGAUGUCAGGGGCAUCUACGCCCUCCUCUGAUGAGACUGCAGCUGCAGAGGUCAUAACAGAGAUCAGUAAGGCAUCCACUCACAAUAUCCCCUCUACCUAUGCGGUCUACAUGUUUCCUGAGCUGGACUGGUUCUGGCUACACAUACUCACUCUGCUGAAUGGCAGGUAAACAUGAGACAGAGUGUAAAGAGAAUGCAGAUUAUCACCCAAACCAAAAACUGAUUACCUCAGCUCAAGACAGAAAUGAGGGUGUAAUCAGUGAAAUUCUUAUGAAAAAGAGAUUGCUGGACCCAAAUGCAAGACUCAGAGAGAUGUUAGUAGAAUACGAACUCAGUUUAUUUGAGGAUUUUGAGAUGAGGAGAAUGAUCUGGUGGAGUGGAGAAGCAGAACAGGCAGUGAGGGCUGUUCCGUAACUUGAGGAGUUGUCUCAGCGUGGUGGAGAGGCUGGCAGACAAUGUAGACCGACACGUGGACUCUGGGAAUUGUUUGGCAUGGCAGAGAGCAGAGCAGGUAGCAGGAAUCUUCAGACAAGAGGCGAACCUGAGCACAGGGAAACAACAGGUCAGGCAGGAAUCCAAACACAUGAAGCAAUAUCACAAGACUAGAGUUACUUGGCAGUUCCGUUACCACGUAGGCUAUGGUGAUU